CUGCGAGUUCGCGGGAGAGUAAGUUAUUGCCAGGGUUUUUAUUUUAUGCUUUAAACAUUGAUUUUAUUUUUUAUGUUUUUAGAUGUUCAUGUUUUUGAAUGUUUUAUUUAAAUAAUAUAAAAAAUAAAAUAUAUAUUGACAUGGAUUAAACAAAGAUAUAUAUUAUUCUAUGUUGCAUAAACAAAUUGGCAAAAUAGAGAUGGAAGAUAAAAAUAUGGUCAAAG
rnacentral:misc_RNA from 2 species